AAAGCACCUUGAUGCAAUGGUCGACCGGCCAGUCGACAAGGCGGCUGCCGAGGUCCUGGCUGAAUUCGAAGGU
rnacentral:sRNA from 1 species